UGAUUUUUUAUUAAUACAGGCUUUGUUUUCUAAAGAUAACUCGCCUUCAAGCCUUGUUGGAAUCCUGUGAUAAUUUCUUUUCACUCCACGUUCUCCAUCAAGAAUUUUGUGGAACUUUGUAUUCUGUUGAAUACCAGAAUUAUAUCAGCAAUUCCCAAGCCCCAAAGUCACCAAAUGGGCAUCAUCGUUGACAUCAGUUUCUCUGAAUGUCCGUGUUUUUCAUGGCAUUGACAUCCUCCAUUUGGGAUUUCUGUGAUUGUUUUUACUAACAAUUGGACUGAAGUUGUAGAUGUGGAGGAAGAAGAGACAGAGACUCCAUCGUGAAUUCAUGGUACCACACAGUCCCCUGACGCUCACAUCAUGGAUUUAUUUUGUCCAGUGAGAGGCCCAAAAGCUUCAGCAUAAACAAUAUCAUCGUGUAGAAGGUUAACUCGACCGUGAUCACGGGCUACAUUCUCCAUACCAACUUCAUAGCUCCUGUGAGAAAAUAAACUCCUGCAUCCAGGAGGCGUGGAGUAAGAGACACAGCUGACUUGACUAUAUUCCUUACUUCCAAAAAGAUUGUAGCAGUAAUUCAGGUACUGUUAUUUGGGGACAUUU